AAUCAACGCUGGCGGCGUGCCUAACACAUGCAAGUCGAACGCGAAAGCCCUUUCGGGGGUAAGUAGAGUGGCGUCCGGGUGAGUAACACGUGGGUAAUCUGCCUUCGGGUGGGGAAUAACCCAGGGAAACUUGGGCUAAUACCGCAUAAUGCAGCGGCACCUAAUGGUGAUUAGUUGUUAAAGCGGGGGAUCGCAAGACCUCGCGCCUGAAGAGGAGCCUGCGGCAGAUUAGCUAGNGGUGAGGUAAUGGCUCACCAAGGCUUCGAUCUGUAGCUGGUCUGAGAGGACGGCCAGCCACACUGGCACUGACACACGGGCCAGACUCCUACGGAGGCAGCAGUGGGGAAUUUUGGGCAAUGGGCGAAAGCCUGACCCAGCAACGCCGCGUGAAGGAUGAAAU
rnacentral:rRNA from 1 species